rnacentral:rRNA from 1 species
AUGAACGCUGGCGGCGUGUCUAAGGCAUGCAAGUCGAAUGGGUUUAGACCCAUGGCAAACGGGAGAGGAACGCAUUGGUAAUCUGCCUCGAAGUUCGGCAUAACUCCGCGAAAGCGGAGAUAAUUCCGGAUGCGCUCUAUGAUCUAACGAUCAUAGCGUAAAGAUUUAUCGCUUCGAGAGGAGCCUAUGUCCUAUCAGCUAGUUGGCGAGGUAAAAGCUCACCAAGGCUAUGACGGGUAGCGGGUGUGAGAGCACGACCCGCCUCACUGGGACUGAGACACUGCCCAGACUCCUACGGGAGGCUGCAGUCAAGAAUAUUCCCCAAUGGGCGAAAGCCUGAGGGAGCGACGCCGCGUGACUGAUGAAGUCCUUCGGGAUGUAAAGGUCUUUUCUCAGGGAAGAACAAAUGACGGUACCUGAGGAAUAAGAGGUUGCUAACUCUGU